rnacentral:rRNA from 1 species
GAUGAACGCUGGCGGCGUGCCUAAUACAUGCAAGUCGAGCGAACAGACGAGGAGCUUGCUCCUCUGACGUUAGCGGCGGACGGGUGAGUAACACGUGGAUAACCUACCUAUAAGACUGGGAUAACUUCGGGAAACCGGAGCUAAUACCGGAUAAUAUAUUGAACCGCAUGGUUCAAUAGUGAAAGACGGUUUUGCUGUCACUUAUAGAUGGAUCCGCGCCGCAUUAGCUAGUUGGUAAGGUAACGGCUUACCAAGGCGACGAUGCGUAGCCGACCUGAGAGGGGGGUCGGCCACACUGGAACGGAGCCAGGGACCAGACGCCUACGGGAGGCAGCAGUCGGGAACCGUCCGCAAUGGGCGGAAGUUUGACGGAGCAACGCGGCGUGAGUGAUGAAGGUCUUGGGAGCGUAAAACUCGGUUAUUAGGGAAGAACAAAUGUGUAAGUAACUAUGCACGGCUUGACGGUACCUAAUCAGAAAGCCACGGCUAACUACGUG